rnacentral:rRNA from 1 species
AUUGAACGCUAGCGGGAUGCCUUACACAUGCAAGUCGAACGGCAGCGGGAAGAAAGCUUGCUUUCUUUGCCGGCGAGUGGCGAACGGGUGAGUAAUGUAUCGGAACGUGCCCAGUAGCGGGGGAUAACUGGCCGAAAGGUCAGCUAAUACCGCAUACGCCCUACGGGGGAAAGGGGGGGAUUCUUCGGAACCUCUCACUAUUGGAGCGGCCGAUAUCGGAUUAGCUAGUUGGUGGGGUAAUGGCCUACCAAGGCGACGAUCCGUAGCUGGUUUGAGAGGACGACCAGCCACACUGGGACUGAGACACGGCCCAGACUCCUACGGGAGGCAGCAGUGGGGAAUUUUGGACAAUGGGGGAAACCCUGAUCCAGCCAUCCCGCGUGUGCGAUGAAGGCCUUCGGGUUGUAAAGCACUUUUGUCAGGGAAGAAAAGGUUCUGGCUAAUACCCGGAACUGAUGACGGUACCUGAAGAAUAAGCACCGGCUAACUACGUG